rnacentral:rRNA from 1 species
GAUGAACGCUGGCGGCGUGCCUAAUACAUGCAAGUCGAGCGAACAGACGAGGAGCUUGCUCCUCUGACGUUAGCGGCGGACGGGUGAGUAACACGUGGAUAACCUACCUAUAAGACUGGGAUAACUUCGGGAAACCGGAGCUAAUACCGGAUAAUAUAUUGAACCGCAUGGUUCAAUAGUGAAAGACGGUUUUGCUGUCACUUAUAGAUGGAUCCGCGCCGCAUUAGCUAGUCGGUAAGGUAACGGCUUACCAAGGCAACGAUGCGUAGCCGACCUGAGAGGGUGAUCGGCCACAAUGGAACUGAGACACGGUCCAGACUCCUACGGGAGGCAGCAGUAGGGAAUCUUCCGCAAUGGGCGAAAGCCUGACGGAGCAACGCCGCGUGAGUGAUGAAGGUCUUCGGAUCGUAAAACUCUGUUAUUAGGGAAGAACAAAUGUGUAAGUAACUAUGCACGUCUUGACGGUACCUAAUCAGAAAGCCACGGCUAACUACGUG